rnacentral:lncRNA from 1 species
UUUUUUCUUUUCUUUUUUUUUUUUUGUAUUUUUAGUAGAGACAGGGUUUCACCAUGUUGGCCAGGAUGGUCUCAAACUCCUGACCUCAGGUAAUCCACCGGCUUCAGACUCCCAAAGUGCCGGGAUUACAGGCAUGAGCCACCGCGCCUGGCACAACGAGGUUUUUCAAACGGUUCUAUGAGAUAAUACCUACAUUAUCUCAUAGAAUUGUUAGAGGAACCUGCUUGUUUUCAGUAUUUUAUAAAUAAGGAAACUGAAGUACAGGGAGAUUAAAUGAAUUGUCCAAAUCACAUACCUGCUUAGGAGUAAAGCAGGAUACAGGAGAACAAGGUUAGGAAGUGAAAAGGGAAAAGUCAGAAGUUAUCUCUGAGAUGUCUUCCUUUGAGAAGUAAUUCUAGCUCAUUCUUCCUGUCAAGCUGAGUAGCAGCCUUACAGAUUUUACCUGACAAGAAAACACAUUACUUCAUUUGCACCAUCAGGAAUUAACGAAAGAGCCAAACUGCUGACCAUCAGUUACUAAAUCCUUCUACAGUACUUAUACUACAAUAGGAAGUAGGGUAGUCUGGGAAAAGAAACAACAGCAACAUAUAGUCUUGAAGCUCACCCCCACAAAACCAGUAACAUAAAACUUCCUAGAAAAGCUAUUGAUAAAGUGUCAAUUGAAAGAAAAUGCUACAGCCACUUCUCUAACAAGAACAAAACAAAAAUGGUGUGUUUUUUUCCUAAAAUGAUUAUAUAACUGAUCCUAGAGAAAAAUCACUAUCUCUAGAGGCACCCUCGCAGCCACACAGAUGUUUGUCAAGUACCCUUUCCAAAUAAAGCAGUACCUGAGGCAGAAAGUGCAGCUGAAAUCCCAUUACAACAACUUUUUUUUUGAGAUGCGGUCUCACUAUGUUGCCCAGACACAAGUGCAGUACCUAUUCACAGGCAAGAUCAUCACAUACUGUAGCUCUGAACUCCUGAGCCUAAGGGUUUCUCCUGCCUCAGCCUCCUGAGUAGCUAGGACUACAGGUGGGCAUCACCGUAUCUCCCUAACAAAUUUCUUUCUUUAUAACAAGAAAUCUUCUAAGCUGCAAGUGAUGCCAAUUUUCAUCCUGAGCUAGAAAGCAGGGAGAAUAACAGUACCUACCUCAAAGGAUUUGAGAGGACUCCAGGAGGUAACUAUGUAGAAAGUGUUUUAAACAGCACCUGGCAUUUGCUAGAGGAACAGAAAACGCUAGCUGCUGCGGCUAAGUUUUAUACACCCAAAAAUUCUAGAUAAACCUUGGCAAUUUGCUUAAAAGGAAAACUGACUUUAAAAACCAAAAUGCAGAAGAGGGUUAUUUAAAAUAGACAAGAAGUACCUGCAGGUGAACAAUGCCAUAUCUAUGCCAUAUGCAGGACUGGGCAGUAUUAAGGGGCAGAGGGCUCAACCAAAGAAAGACUACAAUUUCUGCCCUGGAAAAGUGACACGUUAAUGAGGGAAACAGGACAAACACUCAUAUGAGAC